UGGUUUAGCCAAUGGGAGGAAAGAAGAUGUUGAUGGGUGUGAGAGUACACAAAUGAAGUGAUAUGUUACCAGAAGGUACACACCAUCACGAGGUCUAGCACUGAUCAGUUCGCGAGGAAAACGUUGGGAAAAUUAACACGAACAAUUCGAAAUGAAUACACCGCUACUGGCAUCGUUCUUGUUGAUGUUUUAUCCUUUGGUUGUUGAUUCAGCAACAUCGAAGAAUGAAUCUUCAUCAGUGGAAGAAACACUUAAAAGCAUACUUGACCAAAAUUACGCACUCGUUCUCGCGGGAAAGGGUAAAGACGUGCUGAAAUUCUACACUGAUGACUGUGUAUUAAUUAAUCAAGGUUUACCGGCAAUAAUUGGCAAAACUGAUUUGUUAAAGCACUUCCAAGGCGAGAAUUUGUCAGCUAUUAAAAGAUGAACGUUUUAUCGACAAAGUUUAUGACAAGGGAGACAUUGUGACUCUUAGAUACCACUUGACGUCGCAUGGAAAAGAUUGCAGUGUCCUUGCAACUGUCCGAGUAAUCAUCGUUUGGAAAAAGAUCAAGGGUAAAUACUUGAUUCACAAUCUUGUUUCAAAUGUGCGAGAGAACCUCUGUCCGCCGACGUCAUGAUUGUUGAACUAAACAUUGGAGAAAACAAGAUCCUACAUUUAUUUGUCAUAUUAUGUAGCCUGAUAUUUUAGAUAAAAUGAGCGUUGGUUUGAAUAAUUCUUGACAUCAUGCGGAAAACGAAUUCAUUAAUUGUUUUAUUAUUCACUGAAGUAUUAUCAAAACAUAUCUAUAUAAAACAUUUUUCAAACCUUCGCUAAGUUGUUUUUGUCAGACAAUUUAUUCAAAUUCGUUUCGUUUAAUUAUGUUGUAAAUAUGUUCAAAGACAGCUUCGCCGCUUUUUUAGUGUUUUCCGCACCCUUUUCGUCUAAAAGCUUUCACUUCCUUUUUAGAAACUGUGGCAAACAUCGCUGUUGUUUAAUUUGCUUUCAAAACAUGCUUUUAAUGGCGUCCAUAAUUUUAGAAAUAUUAUUUGUAGAUAUGACGCCAUAAUUGCAGAUAUCGAGAAUUAUCUGCAGGUAGUUGACCAAUCACAGCUUGCUUACAUAUUGAAUAAUAAUGAUUAUUCACAUCUCUACGCAGACAAAUUUCGUAUUCAUAGUUCAAUACGACAGAUGAAUGUUACAUGUCAACAAAGGCUAAUUUACCACAAAAAGUAAAGUUUUUUUAUAAUCA